AUUGAACGCUGGCGGCAGGCUUAACACAUGCAAGUCGAGCGGAGAUGAGGUGCUUGCACCUUAUCUUAGCGGCGGACGGGUGAGUAAUGCUUAGGAAUCUGCCUAUUAGUGGGGGACAACAUUCCGAAAGGAAUGCUAAUACCGCAUACACCCUACGGGGGAAAGCAGGGGAUCUUCGGACCUUGCGCUAAUAGAUGAGCCUAAGUCGGAUUAGCUAGUUGGUGGGGUAAAGGCCUACCAAGGCGACGAUCUGUAGCGGGUCUGAGAGGAUGAUCCGCCACACUGGGACUGAGACACGGCCCAGACUCCGACGGGAGGCAGCAGUGGGGAAUAUUGGACAAUGGGCGGAAGCCUGAUCCAGCCAUGCCGCGUGUGUGAAGAAGGCCUUUUGGUUGUAAAGCACUUUAAGCGAGGAGGAGGCUACCUGGAUUAAUACUCUAGGAUAGUGGACGUUACUCGCAGAAUAAGCACCGGCUAACUCUGUGCCAGCCGCCGCCGUAAUAC
rnacentral:rRNA from 1 species